AUUAAAUGUCCAUUUUGAGUCGCACGUCUUCACUAGUUUCACACUAGGGCAUAGAAGGUCUAAGAAAAGUCUUAAUCAUGUUGUUUUCAUAUGAAUCAUUUUCGCACAGCUGUGGGAUUUAAGAAGGAAUAAACUUCAGUGAGUGUGAGGCCGGUUUUUUGUGCGUGUCAUUUGGGGGCAUUGAGGAAAAUGCAGAUUGACAGGAGGCAUUUGUGUACUUGCUAAAUCUAUUGUGUCUUCUGGUUUGGUGGGCUACUUUGUGUCAUACAGCUAGCAUCAGUGUCUGUGUGGAUGCCAGAGAAUGUAUUGCUGUGUGUUAAUUCAGUGUUAAAAUCUUGACUUGUCUAACCAAACUCCUGAAUGUUUUUCUUUCAUUUUGUGCAUCACAAAAUAGUUAAUCUUGUAAUAUAAAUGGUCGAUCUGCCACUAA